GGCCCCGCACAAGCGGCGGAGCACGCGGUUUAAUUCGAGGAUACGCGAAGAACCUUACCAAGGCUUGAAAUCUAGUGGGCGAACUAUAGAAAUAUGGUUUUUCCCUCACGGGACUGCUAGACAGGUGGUGCAUGGUCGUCGUCAGCUCGUGUCGUGAGAUGUUGGGUUAAGUCCCGCAACGAGCGCAACCCUUGUCUUAUGUUACUAACAUUCAGUUGAGGACUCAUAAGAGACUGCCAGAGACAAUCUGGAGGAAGGUGGGGACGAAGUCAGGUCAUCAUGCCCCUUAUGUCCUUGGGCUACACGCAUGCUACAAUGGGUAAUACAAAGAGUCGCGAUACUGUAAAGUGGAGCUAAUCUCAAAAAGUUAUUCUCAGUUCGGAUUGAGGUCUGCAACUCGACCUCAUGAAGCCGGAGUCGCUAGUAAUCGUGAAUCAGCAAUGUCA
rnacentral:rRNA from 1 species